UACGUAGGGUGCAAGCGUUAAUCGGAAUUACUGGGCGUAAAGCGUGCGCAGGCGGUUUUGUAAGACUGUCGUGAAAUCCCCGGGUUUAACCUGGGAAUGGCGAGGGUGACUGCAAGGCUAGAGUUUGGCAGAGGGGGGUAGAAUUCCACGUGUAGCAGUGAAAUGCGUAGAGAUGUGGAGGAACACCGAUGGCGAAGGCAGCCCCCUGGGUCAAAACUGACGCUCAUGCACGAAAGCGUGGGGAGCAAACAGG
rnacentral:rRNA from 1 species